GUCAGGGCUGGUGGGGUGCCUAUACUCCCACUACUCAGGAGGCUGAGGUGGGAGGAUCACUUGAGCCCAGGGUUUCUGGGUUGUACUAUGCUAUAUUGAUUUGGCAUCUGCACAGUUUCACAACAAUUUGGUGACCUCCAGGGAGUUGGGAAUGGCCAGGUUGCCUAAGAAGGGUGAACCAGCUCAGGUCAGAAAUGGAGCAAGUCAAAACUCCCAUGCUGAUCAGCUGUGUGAUCAUACCUGUGAAUACCCACUGCACUCCACCCUGGGCAACAUAGUGAGACCCUGUUUCUA
rfam:Otolemur garnettii contig083426, whole genome shotgun sequence.